GCCCGCGUAGCUCAAUGGACAGAGCAACAGACUUCGGAUCUGUGUGUUGGGAGUUCGAAUCUCUCCGCGGGCG
rnacentral:tRNA from 1 species